AUGCUGCCGCCGUCUUGCCGCCUGCUCCCUCUCAUCUCGUCGCCGCCUCCUCCGCACUCCCUGCACGUCGCCAAAACUCUCAUACCCAGGCAGACCCAUGCCUGGGCCCGGGCCCGACCCGUUGCCCCCACCAUGUCCGCUCAGCUAGAUGCCGCCCUCUCCGCCGGCUUCGUCCGCCUCCUCAACGCCGGGCAGGAGGACGCGGACUGCGGCGGCGGGCACUACGAUCCGAAGUCGGGGGACUACGCCGUCGGGAUCGUUGUCUCCGGCACCGAGGCUCGCCUCGACGUUGCCGUUGGCGCCGACCGCCUCGCUACGCUCCUCACCAAGGAGCUCCUCCCGCUUUGCCGCGCGAAGCUCCGUACUGGAGGUGCUAAACCGGCUCCGCCUCGGCCAGGGAGCGUGGGCGUCUUGGAGGCCUCCCCCGUGGAUGAAGAGACCCAAAAUCAGAAGCGCGGGGCCAGGACGCUGGUGCCGCCCGGCACGGUGGUCUUCGCGGAGGUGCUCGGGCGCACACUGAGCGGGCGGCCGCUCCUGUCGGCGAGGCGGCUCUUCCGACGCCUCUCGUGGCACCGGGCAAGGCAGAUUAUGCAACUUGACGAGCCAAUUGAGGUUAAAAUUUACGAAUGGAAUACUGGGGGACUGCUCACAAGAAUUGAGGGUCUGAGAGCAUUCCUUCCCAAAUUUGAGCUCAUGGACAGGAUAAGUACGUUUACAGACUUGAAAAACAACGUUAGUCGCAGCAUAUGUGUGUGCAUUAUAAGGCUAGACGAAGAAACUAAUGACCUCAUAGUUAGCGAGAAGAAAGCAUGGGAAAUGACAUAUCUUAAAGAAGGAGCUCUUCUAAAAGGGAAUGUACACAAGAUUUUUCCAUAUGGUGCGCAAGUUAGGAUAACUGGGACCAACAGAAGUGGAUUACUGCACAUCUCCAACAUUAGUCAAGGUCGUGUCUUGUCAGUAAGCGACAUCCUAAAAGUAGAUGACGAGCUGAAAGUUCUGGUGAUCAAGUCAAAUGUUUCUGACAAAAUUGCACUCAGCAUAGCAGACCUGGAGAGUGCUCCUGGUUUAUUUCUGUCAAAUAAAGCGAAGGUGUUUUCAGAAGCUGAGGAAAUGGCAAAGAGGUACCGGGAGCAGCUUCUAGUUGUCUCUCGGAACACUAAAUUAGAUUAUGACCUUCCAGGGGAAACUAUUCCGUUUGAUAAUGAAGCGACACUUUAUGCAAACUGGAAAUGGUUCAAAUUUCUGAGGCAUGCCAAAUCUGGUGACGGAAAUGAUAGAACAUAA
rnacentral:rRNA from 1 species